AUCAACUUUCGAUGGUAGGAUAGAGGCCUACCAUGGUGGUAACGGGUAACGGGGUGUUAGGGCACGACACCGGAGAGGGAGCCUGAGAAACGGCUACCACAUCCAAGGAUGGCAGCAGGCGCGCAAAUUACCCAAUCCCGACACGGGGAGGUAGUGACAAUAAAUAACAAUACGGGGUUCUUUCGGAUCUCGUAAUUGGAAUGAGUACAAUUUAAAUCUCUUAACGAGGAACAAUUGGAGGGCAAGUCUGGUGCCAGCAGCCGCGGUAAUUCCAGCUCCAAUAGCGUAUAUUAAAGUUGUUGCAGUUAAAAAGCUCGUAGUUGAACCUCGGGGUCUACCCAUUGGUCAGGCUUAAUUGUCUGCACUGGUGAGAUGGAUCUCUACCUUCUGAGGAACUUUCAUGCCAUUUAUUUGGUGUGAUGGGAAAUCAGGACUGUUACUUUGAAAAAAUUAGAGUGUUUAAAGCAGACUAUCGUCUGAAUACAUUAGCAUGGAAUAAUGAAAUAGGACGGACUGAUUCUAUUUCGUUGGUUUCUAGGAUCACCGUAAUGAUUAAUAGGGAUAGUUGGGGGCAUUAGUAUUCAAUUGUCAGAGGUGAAAUUCUUGGAUUUAUUGAAGACUAACUACUGCGAAAGCAUUUGCCAAGGAUGUUUUCAUUAAUCAAGAACGAAAGUUAGGGGAUCGAAGACGAUCAGAUACCGUCGUAGUCUUAACCAUAAACUAUGCCGACUAGGGAUCGGAUGAUGUUAAUUUUAUAAUGACUCAUUCGGCGCCUUACGGGAAACCAAAGUGUUUGGGUUC
rnacentral:rRNA from 1 species